GUGGACGAUCACAGAAUUAGCACGAAUAGCAGUAGCUAUGCGAGUUGUAAGACCUAUAAGAAAGACUCUGCUAGAAGCAAUGCUUCCUCCCAUACGUACCUGGACCUAGAAGAGUGUACACGUCAUAUCGAACUUGAACGAUGCAACAGCAUUGCUACAGAAAUUUCUUUUUCCGACUUGGCACAUCGCAGGACUUUGGAUACGGAUGUGCAUGGGAUUCGAAAAGCGACUGCAAAUAAUCCUCCAAUAAUAC